rnacentral:rRNA from 1 species
AUUGAACGCUGGCGGCAUGCCUUACACAUGCAAGUCGAACGGCAGCACGGGACCUUGCUCCUGGUGGCGAGUGGCGAACGGGUGAGUAAUACAUCGGAACGUACCCUGAAGUGGGGGGAUAACGUAGCGAAAGUUACGCUAAUACCGCAUAUUCUGUGAGCAGGAAAGAGGGGGAUCGCAAGACCUCUUGCUUUAGGAGCGGCCGAUGUCGGGUUAGCUAGUUGGUGAGGUAAAGGCUCACCAAGGCGACGAUCCGUAGCGGGUCUGAGAGGAUGAUCCGCCACACUGGGACUGAGACACGGCCCAGACUCCUACGGGAGGCAGCAGUGGGGAAUUUUGGACAAUGGGCGCAAGCCUGAUCCAGCCAUGCCGCGUGAGUGAAGAAGGCCUUCGGGUUGGUUAAAGGAC